AAACCAUAUACAUUAAAUGCUCCUGAUCUUCCUCAGAGAUGGCCCUGCUCAAAGAUGCUGAUAAUAUUUAUCUGUGUGUGGAUGUAGCUAAAUUUCUUUUAAGUAAGUCCAUGGAGGAAAUAAAAAAUACCUCAUAACUUUCCCUUUCAUCUUUGGAUGCCUUCCUUCCAGCAGAGUUUAUGUGGAACAAAAACCUGUCUUUCUAGCCAGUUCUGGCCCCACACAAGCCAGUGAUGUAAUCAAAGUUCAUCCUUGGGGCACUUCCUACCUGGGCUUUAACCCCUAGUCUGAUCUCUGUCACCAUACCUACUCUAUACCCUCAUCCUCACCUCUGUCUUAAUGAAAAUAUAUUGAACAUAUUUUAAACAGGUAAAUAAAUGUUAGAGGCCCAGUGUAUAGCUCCUAUCCUGGGAAAAGCCUGCCUGUCGCUUAUUCUUCUCCCAUGGAAGGCCUUCUCUACAUCCUAUCUUUCUGCAUUUAGAUAAAAUAUGCCUAAUUCCAAGGGAUUUUGUGAGGGGGGGCAGGAGGAGUUAUCAAUAAUAUAGUGGACAUAAAAUGGGAUAUUUUAAGGGAGAAGGAAAAGAGGAAAAGGUGUGGAAAAAAAAAACCCAAGAGCAACAAAGUAGUGGGGGAAACCACAGCAGAAAAGGCAUUAGAGAAGGAAAGAGAGGCGAAGUAGAGAAGAGAGUUAGCUCCUUUUGUGGUCAGCGUCAUGAGAAGCAAGUUGAACAGGGCAAGGUUUAGGAAAGGGUCCUCUGGCAGAUUUAGGAGGUCAGGUAGGGAGGAUUACUGAAAAGCCUUAGUUGUGAACUACACUGAGGCAACAAUAUGGUCCAUCCAACUGGGGGCAUGGCAGAGGUGUUAAGUCAGAUUGGCAAGUGGCCCAAAUUGUUGGUCAGGCUCUGGCCAGGUAAGCCAAUUGGCCAGAGGUCAGCACCAUGGAUAGUCCCAAAGGAUUUGUGGACUCUGGAGAGAAGUGAAGAGAACCCUACAUAUUUGGUGACAGACUAAAGUUUGGUGUUUUUUUUAGCUCAGCCCCUAAGGCUGUUUUGGUUCUACCUAUAUUCAAAAACAACAUUUAUUGAGCACCUAUUGUGUGCCAGACACCCUUACUAGUUCUGGAGAAUGACAAAGAAAUGAGAUGAUACUGUCUGCCCUUAAGAAGCUUACUACUCCCUGGAUAAACUAGAAAUUUUUAAAAAUGAAAAUAAUGAUAUGGCCCUCUUGAGGGAGGAGGGUGGGAAGAGGGAGAGGAUGAGAAAAAAAAUAAUUGUUGAGUACUAUGCUUAGUACCCAGGUGACAAAAUGCUCUGUACCUCAGACUCCUGUGACAUGAGUUUGCCUGUAUUAACAAACCUGCACAUGUACCCCUGAGCCUAAAAUAAAAAUUAAAAAGUGAAAUAAAGAAAAUAAUAAUAGCUAAUAUUUAUUGAGCAAUUACUAUAUACAAAGUACAUAAUUCUAACUGCUAUACAUAAAUUAUUUUAUUGAAUUCUCUCAACAACCUUAUGAAGGAGGUAUUAGUAUCCUUAUAGAUGAUGAAGCUGAG
rnacentral:lncRNA from 10 species